AUUGAACGCUGGCGGCAUGCCUUACACAUGCAAGUCGAACGGCAGCACGGGUGCUUGCACCUGGUGGCGAGUGGCGAACGGGUGAGUAAUACAUCGGAACGUACCUUAUCGUGGGGGAUAACGCAGCGAAAGUUGCGCUAAUACCGCAUACGCCCUGAGGGGGAAAGCGGGGGACCGUAAGGCCUCGCGCGAUUAGAGCGGCCGAUGUCUGAUUAGCUUGUUGGUGAGGUAAAAGCUCACCAAGGCGAUGAUCAGUAGCUGGUCUGAGAGGACCAUCAGCCACACUGGGACUGAGACACGGCCCAGACUCCUACGGGAGGCAGCAGCGGGGAAUUUUGGACAAUGGGGGCAACCCUGAUCCAGCAAUGCCGCGCGAGUGAAGAAGGCCUUCGGGUUGUAAAGCUCUUUUGUCAGGGAAGAAACAGCAGCUCUAACACAGUCUGCGAAUGACGGUACCUGAAGAAUAAGCACCGGCUAACUACGUGCCAGCCGCCGCGGUAA
rnacentral:rRNA from 1 species